UUAUACAGCGAAACUGCGAAUGGCUCAUUAUAUAAGUUAUCGUUUAUUUGAUAGUACCUUACUACUUGGAUAACCGUGGUAAUUCUAGAGCUAAUACAUGCUAAAAAUCCCGACUUCGGAAGGGAUGUAUUUAUUAGAUUAAAAACCAAUGCCCUCUGGGCUCUCUGGUGAUUCAUGAUAACUUCUCGAAUCGCAUGGCCUUGCGCCGGCGAUGGUUCAUUCAAAUUUCUUCCCUAUCAACUUUCGAUGUUUGGGUAGUGGCCAAACAUGGUUGCAACGGGUAACGGAGGGUUAGGGCUCGACCCCGGAGAAGGAGCCUGAGAAACGGCUACUACAUCCAAGGAAGGCAGCAGGCGCGCAAAUUACCCAAUCCCGAUUCGGGGAGGUAGUGACAAUAAAUACUGAUACAGGGCUCUUUUGGGUCUUGUAAUUGGAAUGAGUACAAUUUAAAUCCCUUAACGAGGAACAAUUGGAGGGCAAGUCUGGUGCCAGCAGCCGCGGUAAUUCCAGCUCCAAUAGCGUAUAUUAAAGUUGUUGUGGUUAAAAAGCUCGUAGUUGAACCUUGGGCCUGGCUGGCCGGUCCGCCUCACCGCGUGUACUGGUCCGGCCGGGCCUUUCCCUCUGUGGAACCCCAUGCCCUUCACUGGGUGUGGCGGGGAAACAGGACUUUUACUUUGAAAAAAUUAGAGUGCUCCAGGCAGGCCUAUGCUCGAAUACAUUAGCAUGGAAUAAUAAAAUAGGACGCGCGGUUCUAUUUUGUUGGUUUCUAGGACCGCCGUAAUGAUUAAUAGGGACAGUCGGGGGCAUCAGUAUUCAAUUGUCAGA
rnacentral:rRNA from 2 species